rnacentral:rRNA from 1 species
ACGCUCGACACCUACGGAGGCAGCAGUGAGGAAUAUUGGUCAAUGGGCGCUAGCCUGAACCAGCCAAGUAGCGUGAAGGAUGAAGGCUCUAUGGGUCGUAAACUUCUUUUAUAUAAGAAUAAAGUGCAGUAUGUAUACUGUUUUGUAUGUAUUAUAUGAAUAAGGAUCGGCUAACUCCGUGCCAGCAGACUGCGGUAAUCUGAGCGGGCUGGCAAGGC